ACUCCUACGGGAGGCAGCAGUGGGGAAUUUUGCGCAAUGGGGGAAACCCUGACGCAGCAACGCCGCGUGGAGGAUGAAGUCCCUUGGGUCGUAAACUCCUUUCGACCGGGACGAUAAUG
rnacentral:rRNA from 1 species